UCGGUGUCACUGAAAGGUCCCUUUCACAGAGACAGACUCCUCGCUGAACGGGCGUUCUCGGGUUACCCCCUGCUACUACGUGGGGAAGAGCUGUGCUUUGUCUCUUCAAGGGUUGUCCAGGAGCAAGCGCGAGCAGGUGAGUCAGCCACUGGGAUUCGGCCCGAUUCUGAUCCCUCUCUGUUUCCCAAAUGCUCAUUCACACUCCAAGUGAGAAAGAGCUGCAGAGGCAGGAUGUCACUCUGUAAACAGCCUGGCGGGGACAGCUGGCAGCUGCCCCUGGACCGUAUCUGACAGAGUGUUCUGGCCUUUUAGAUGAGACUGCAGACUACCCAAGGGAAGGACCAGGUGCUAGGGUUUCCUCCUGGUUUAUGCCACGGAGCGCAGGGACGGCCCAGGGUGGCUCAGCGGGCCCUGAGCGCCCUGCACAAGGGCCCUCCUUUUUUGCAAGGUGAUCUUUAUGGAACCACAAGUGCCUGGGUUCCAGGGACUUGGGUUUUAAUCCCAGAUGUGUGCUGGACAGGUGGAGUUGUUGCGUCAUCUAGACACACAGGGGGGAGGGGGGAGGGCUGAAAAUGCUUGGAACGACUGAGUGAACAUAAAGCCGUGGGGUGACAAGGUCAGGUCAUGAGGACAAUCACCAGAGAAGAGCUCCUGUGGGCUUAGCAUCGGCCCAGGUCAUUCCAGGCACUAUUGGAGGUGUUUUGUAGAAACUCAAUCUUUCCCGAAGCCCCAUGGAGUAGGGGCUAUUAUUAUCUUUACACACUUGGAAACUGAGGCACUGAGAGGUCAUGUACUCGGUUGGGGGCCACAUGGUCAGUGAACCAGGGCUGGAAGCUGGGCAGUUAAGCUCCCAAGCAUGGUCUCUUAGAGUAAAAAUGAAGGCCUGGGUGGUGGGUGGGGGUGUAUCUGUUGAUUUUCCUGCCCAGCAGACCUUCCUCUCUCCCCUGGUGGCUCCAGGUCCCUGGGGGACCAGCCCUGCCCAUUCCCAGCCCAGGUGCUCUGGUGCCUAGUUUUGGGGUGAUCUCCCCUACAGCACUCUUGAAGGUAUGGCCCUGGGACCCCCAGGGUCAGGCAGUAUCCAAGGGCCUCAGGAUGAGGGCACACUGGAUUCCCCUCUGCAUUUGAGAAGUAGUUAGCCUGAAGAAGGGAACUGGCCGCCUUGGGACCCUUGCAUGGAGAGGAGGUAGAGCUCAAAAACAGAGGUGGAGGGGACCAUCUGAAGCCUGAACCCAGGCAGGCCUGAUGCUGGAACCUAGCUUUCACUUUUUUUUUAUUUUAAUUUUUAAAAGAUUUAUUUGAAAGGCAGAAAGAGAGAGAGAGAGGCAGAGAGAGAGAGAGAGAGAGGCAGAGAGAGAGAGAGAGAGAGAGAGAGAGAGAGAGAGAGGCAGGCAGAGACAGGGAGAUCUUCCAUUCGCUGGUUCACUCCCCAAAAGGCCACAGCGGGGUUGAUCCCAAGCCAGGAGCUUCUUCCAGGUCUCCCAGGUCUGCUGCUUUCCCAGGCGCAUCAGCAGGGAGCUGGACUGGGAGUGAAGCAGCUGGAACUCAAACUGGUGCCCAUAUGGGAUGCUGUUACUGCAGGUGCCAGCCCCCAUUUUAUAAAAGGUUGAUUGGUUUAUUUGACAGGUAGAAUGACAGAGAGAGGGGGGGAGAGACAGAGAAAAUUAGAUCUUUCAUCCUCUGGUUCACUCCCCAAAUGGCCUCAGUGGCUGGGGUUGGAGCCCAGAACUCCAUCCUGGUUUCCCACGUGGGUGACAGGGUCCAAAGACUCGAGUCAUCUGCUGCAUUCGGAGGACGGGAAUGGAUCGUAAGAGAAGCAGCUGGGACUCCCACUGGCCCUCCAAUAUGGGAUGCCAGCACUGCAGGUAGUGACUUAACCCACUGUACCAAAUCAUUGGUUCUUCACUUCAAAUUCUCAUGAACAAAUACCUUCUCUUGGCUGACGAAGCUGGUGAACGGUGGAAAGACCCCUAAGUGAGAGAGCUUGAUCCGUCCCUAAACAUGCUCUAAGCCAGCUCUCAGCCCAGCCUGACCCAUGGAUGAGCGCCCACCCUCACUUCCUCUAGUCCUGCUUGGCUCUUCCAGAGACACGUGCUCUGCUCUCCCAGACACCGUGAGAAUUACCUCCUGCUCCCCUGGCUGCCGUGACACAGAACCCGUGCACUUCAUUAGCAUGGCGUUUAUUCUGCCUUGAAAUGCACUAAAUUAUUUCCAGGUCAUCCAUCAGCAUUUACUGAAUGCUUCCCGUGUGUCACAUCUUUGGCCAGAGGCUGGGAGCUCACAGCGAGUGACAUCCACACAUCGUCGAGGUCUUCCUGAGCGUCAAGCCGCUUUGCUUGGAGUUUCUCAUGUAUCCGUCGCGUCGUUACGUCUCCUUGACGACAUGAAUAAUAAGCUGCCUAACAUCUCUGUUGGUCCGUCCUGCCCCCCGCACAUGGUACCAGGUGUUAAACUAGGACAUUAGCAAAGCACUGAGAUGAGACAGAAGGGAAACCUCGAAGGGCACUGGCAGAUGAAGAUGGAGGUUCUCAUCACCACCGCUUUAGGAUGAGUAUCACCAGCCAAAUCCCUCAUCCACAAAGAGGAUGUGAAAGAAUCAAUAGGGAUUGAGAGUGGAUUUUAGGAGGAUUUUUUUUUCCAAAUUCCCAGUAUACAUAUCCAAGGUGUGGGUGGUUUUUAAAUUUUGUAUUUAUUUUCAUUUUAUUUGAAAGGCAGGGAUAUAGAAAGAUGGACACAGAAAGAUCUUCCAUUCAUUGAUUCACUUCCCAAGUGCCUGUAAUGACUGGAGCCGGACCAGCAGAAACCCCUAGCUCAAUCUAGGUCCCCCACAGGGUGGGAGAAUCUGGAGAAUUUCCUGUUUCCAACGACCUGAGCACUUUGAUGAUGACUUUUUUUUUUUUUUUGACAGGCAGAGCAGACAGUGAGAGAGAGGCAGAGAGAAAGGUCUUCCUUUUGCCGUUGGUUCACCCUCCAAUGGCUGCUGCGGCCGGUGCACCACGCUGAUCCGAAGGCAGGAGCCAGGAGCCAGGUGCUUUUCCUGGUCUCCCAUGGGGUGCAGGGCCCAAGGACUUGGGCCAUCCUCCACUGCACUCCCUGGCCACAGCAGAGAGCUGGCCUGGAAGAGGGGCAACUGGGACAGAAUCCGGCACUCUGACCGGGACUAGAACCCGGUGUGCUGGCACUGCUAGGCGGAGGAUUAGCCUACUGAGCUGCGGCGCCGGCCUUGAUGAUGACUUUAACGAUCAAAGCAUUAACACAAGACUUGAGCCAUUGCAUGCAGCCUCCCAUAGUGCAUAUUAGCAGGAAGCUAGAUUGGAAAUGCAGGAGCUGGGAUCCAAGCCAAGUACUCCACUACGGAAUGUGGGUGUCCCAAGCAGCCUCUUAAUUGCUCCAUCAAGCACUGGUCCCACAGUGUGCGUGUUUUAUUUGUUCCUAAACUUUAAGUCCAUGGAGAACAGCCUUUUUGGGAGGCCACGGAGAGUUUGAUUUUCAUUCUCCGUCAUUGGAGAGGUGGAGGGGCAGGCAUUGUUUGUGACUUGCCCUGAGCACCCAGAGGGUGAGAGGCCAUGGCUAGGACAUCCGCUUGGAAGCCUAAAGCUUGCCUGACAGAAGGACAGUUUCUCGUGGACUGUCCUGGCUGGUAGAUCAUGGUAGAUAUGAUCUCAGAGUGGCCAGGAAGGGCACUGACACAGCCUGGGGGUAGACUGCCAGACCCUGGAGUUAAAGAGAUUCCUACAGCAGCCUGAGCGACACUGACCACCCGAGUGCCCACUGGUGGUCCCACGUGGUCCAAAAGCACCUAACAUCUCUGCUGGCCUAUCCUGUCCCCAGCACACGUUACCAGGUGUUAAACUAGGACAUUAGGAAUGCUCUGAGGGGGCACAGUCCCAUCUCUUGACUCUGACAUCAAGCAAGAACUUCCUUCCCUGCCUGAUUUCUCCUACCAUUUUUUUCCUUCCACACUCUUGUAUGUGCUGCUGGGGGGUGGAAAUACCUACUUCUCCCUUUCCGGAAGGCAAGCAGUCAUAAAGGGGGCUGUAAAAGGAGGAAGUGCAUUAUCUUCAAAUAAAGUGAGAAGUGUUGAUGGACAAGACAUUCGGAUUUUAGAAGUAAAACUAAGUUUGUGACUCAGGGAUCACAGGAUUUUUUUAAAAUAGAGUGAAAAGGAGGGUUGUGGUGCUUGAUGGAGUCUAUAUCCAGUGAUGAGAUAAAGGCUCACCCCCACUGACACCGCAGAGGUAACAGAGGCAGAACUAAUGUUGCUGUGAUCAGUCAAGCCUCACGUUCUCCCAGACAAAAGGUCAUGCAAGCUAACUGCCCUGCUCGGGGUUACAGAGACAGCGGCAGGGCAGAGCCUGAACCGAAUGCCACACUGUUUGCACCUCAAGGAAAUUAUUGUCACUCCUGCUCCUCCUAACUGGAAAAGUAAGCAUCCUAUUCUUUUUUUUUUUUUUUUUUUUUUUUUUUUACAACAUCUCUUUUUCAAAUUCCUUUCCUUUUCCCACAACCUGUUCUAAAUGGCCCUGGACCAGUGUUAACUGUUGAAAUACGGCACGAUCAGAGGUGGGUAAGGUUGUCCAAGGAGGACUUCAAUCAAGAAUAUGAUUCAAAGAGCAGCAAAUCACCAAGGACCAAAUCUGUAGAAUUUCCUGUUUCCAACGACCUGAGCACUUUGAUGACGACUUUAAUGAUCAAAGCAUUAACACAAGACUUGAACAUUCGCAAAGCUCCAGGAACCAUGCUGUGGGCUUUUCCUAUGUUUACCUUCUUUUUCUUCCCCUUCCCUCCCUUCUCCCCACCCCCGAAGAGCAUUAGAGAGAGGAGAGAGAGAGGAGAGGGAGAAGAGAGAGAAAGAGAGAUCCUCCAUUCCCUGAUUCACUCCUCAAAUGGUUGCAGUGUCUGAGGAUGGUCCAUGUUGAAGCCAGAAGUCUGGAACUCUGAGUUUCCCAGAUUGAUGGCAGAAGCUGAAAUACUUGGGCCAUCAUCUGCUGCCCUCCCAGUUGCAUUAGCGGGAAGCUGGACCAGAAGUGAUGUAGUUAGGACUUGAACUUACACUCUGGUAUGGGACACUGGCACAGUGAUCUGUGGUUUAACUUGCUGUGCCACAAUGCCAGCCCCUCCUUAGUUUUCUGACUCAAUCCCAACGACCCUAUACAAUAGAUUUCAAAGCCAACUAGCCCAGCCAGGUUUCCACACCAGAGCUGUUCCUGUAGGCUCUUAGCCAUUCUGUCACACUCAGCCCACGGUACCUAGAAACCUGCGGCAGCACAAAGGCUCGGAGCACCAAGCCUGCUCGGAGGGACCCGCUGCUACGUCCCACUCAUGACAACGGCCCCUCUCCCAGGACAUUGGCUUCCAAUGAAGAAGUUAACUUGCUCUGAUCCCAUGACACAGGGUUCUCUGGUUUUUUGAGAGCCAAAACUUGGUGAACACAGGGUACACCCAACACAUGUCCUCUAGAUUCAUCCAUGUUGUUGCCAGCGACAGGCUCUCACCAUUUCCCAUGGCUGAACUGUGUUGCAUUGUCUGUAUACACCGUGCUUUCUUUAUCCAUUCCUCUGUUGACAGACACUUAGGUGGACUCCGUAUCUUGGCCCUAGUGCUGCAAUAAACAGAGUGCAGAUGUCUCUUCGACAGACUGAUCUCAUCUCCUUUGGCUAUCUACCCAAUAGUGGGAAUGCUACAAUCACAGGGCUGCUCUAUUUUUAAUUUUUUCAAAAGGACACUUAACCAUUUUAUGCCAACAGUUUUGGCAAGUGAUGUGAAAUGCACAUACUUCUUCAAAACCAAGUUCAGAAAACCGACAUGGAAAGAACACAUUUUUAAGGCUCUUUUGUGAGUUCUUGAGCAAAUCUCACCAGAGCCAUGGAGACAGAUUUCUAGGCAGCCAAGGCUGGGGGUGAGGGCAGGCUCUGUGCCAGGGGACAGGGAACCGAGUCGGUGCGUAAGGUUAUCUUCAUAGAUACGCAGUGUCCUAAAGGGUUUUGUCACUUGUAGGCCUGGCUGAUCCGAUUCUAAAUAAGAACCACUUAGGCUUCAGGGCCCUCAAACAAGACAAACCUGAUUCAGCAGGCAGGACAAGGGUGGAAAGCCAUCUCUUCCAUGGCUACUGGAAAGAUGGAGCCCGGGCCUUCCCUGGAUGUUAACCACCUGGGGCCUCUAGGGGACAGUCAUCAGGGAGCAACCGUAUAGAAUGGAUGAUGUGCAUAGAGGCGUUAUCAGAAAAAACUAGCAUUUUAGCCAGGUCCCCAACCUCUAUGGUUUUGACAUUUUUAAAUUUUUCUUUAUUAAAUUGAGAGAGAGCGAGAGAGUUUUUCUAUGCUUUUUAUAUGCAUGCCCUCUUCCAAACACAUUGUUUUCUCUGUGCCUGGAGAAAAGCAAAGCUUAAGUGAUGUUCUUCCUAAAUAAGAAGGAACAAAAGAAAACAAAAGAGUAUCAAGCUAAAAAACUGUGACAGAAAGUAAUAAAGUGAAUCUAAGGAUGGCAGAAGAAAUAAAAGAUAAAAGCAGACAUAAGCAAAUUAGAAAACAGAAUAAUAGAAUUAUCAGAGAGAUCAAAGAGCCAGCUCCGUUAAAAGACUAAAAAUAAAUAAAUAAAUAAUAAGAGAGAGACAGAAACCUCUGGCAAUGUUACAUGAGCACAAAAGAAAACAGAAAUAAAUCCCACUGGAAUCGAAAAGGUCUAGAAACAUAGAUGUGAGAGAAGAUCGAAGUUCAAAGCUUCCCAUGCUUGAACGUGCUGACCACAGGAAGACAACAACCGUACUGAAGAAGAGGCGGGAACACGGACUGGACUGGUGUUACACGAAGCUGACAAACGACGCCAGCAGGCGGGCAAAUUCUGUCCACCCUUAAGGGAAGAGGCACUUUCUGGAGUACAAAAAAGUCUGUGUCCUAAUCAAUUUUACAAUACAGGCCCAACCCAGCUAGCACAGUACUUAGAAAAACAGACAGGCAGAGAGAGAUGGUGAUGGAGAGGGACGGGGGAGGGAGGAGGAAGAGGAAGAGGAACGGGGAGGGAGAAGGAGAGGGAGAGAGGAAAACAUGAACUCUAUAGGUCAAACUUAUUUAGGGACAGUGUAGUGGGCUGAAUCCUCUCUCUGUAAAAUCCACGUCUACCUGGAAUCCCAAUUCAUGCUCCGAUUUCGAAAUCGGGUCUUUGCAGAUGUAAUUCUGUGGUGAGGUAAUGCUGUGGUGAGGGUAGGCCCUAAAGCCAGUGACUGGUGUCCCUAUAGGAAGCGGAGAGGACACAGAGAGACACAGGAAGGCAGAGGCGGGGAUCGGGGAGACGCAGCCACAAGCCCAGGGCCACAGGAGAUGGGGAGGAACUGUUCAAAGCUGGGAAGAGGUAAAGAAGGAUCCUUCCUCAGAGCCUGCACUUUGAUCUCACACUUCCAGCUCCCAGCGCCGGGACAAAAUGAAUCUCUGUGUUUUAAAAACCACCAGCCCUAGGAACACACACACACACACAGAGGCAAGGGUUUUUCUGUUUCUCUUGGUGACUUUGUAAGGAAGAGAAUAUAUGGGCUGUACAUUCACCACCUAGGAAAUGAAUGAACAAAGUCCCGAUGUGCCUUCCUGUUGCAGGUCUCUGGCCAUGGGUGGCCUCAUGCCCACCUGAACAAUGCACUCAGCAACAGGUUUUCCCCAAGCAAUGUGGGCCUGGGGGUCAAAGUUCAAAGGCAGGUCCACCAUGUGGUCCAAAUACUGGAAAGCUCUAAGUCAAGCUAACAAACUGUGUUUGCAUCCCUCUUGAUAAAUACAUUUCAUAACCACUUGGAAAGCCCUCCCAGGUCCCUCAGGGUUCUGAGCUGUUCUCUAACCAUGCAGGGCAAGUUGGACACCCCAGCUCCAUCCUGCAUCAUGACAGCCCUAGGGGAGAGGACCAUGCUCUGUCCAUAAUCCACACCAUUAGUCACGGUGGUCUUCCUGGGGAGAACAGACCCAGUGAACUGGCUACAGGCAGCCUCAGACCACUUGGAUAGAGAAUUCCGGGGUCCUGGUAUCCAGAACAGCUCUGGAAGGCAGGGGACACAGGGUCCAGCCACCCGGGGCCCCAGAGGUCCCAGUUCCAAGGAGACCAAACCCUUGUGUAGAGUCUGUGUCCUCAGGCCUCCAGGCUCCCCACCUGCUGUGAAGGCGUGAGGUUGGGGAAGUCAGGGUGGGAGCCCCUGAAGCAAAGGCAGAGCCUGCCUGGGGCAGAGAGAGGAGCUGCUCAGCUGUUUGUCCCCUCUACAGCACGGCUCAGACAUACUGACCCACAGCUGCAGGGAUGUCCGAGAAGGGACCAGGUCACAGCCUCAGCAGGUGCUUUGGACAGCUCUGUGCUCUCUCUCUCUCCUGAGCUCUUUCUCCUUUUCUCAGAGUCUCUAAGAACACAACACAGAGGGAUUCAUUGAUUGGAAGCAACGCAGCUUUCUGACCUUUCCCCCUUCCGUCAUCACAUGCACUAAUCCACAGGCUUGUCUGGGCGGGCCGGACGGAGUCUUAGCGUCUUAUUACCUCUCCCUUCUCUCUCAGCAAGGCGUCACGUUAUGCAGCCAAAAAAUGAGGACAGUGGUGUUCACGAGACUCGGAGGCAUCAGGCAAGGUACAAGGCUGAGAAAUGUGAUAUUUGGGGCUAGCACUGUGGUUCAGCGGGUUGAGCUCGCCACGUGGGCAUCUCCUAUGAGCACUGAUUCGAGUCCUGGCUGCUCCACUCCCUGCUAAUGUGGCUGGAAAGGUAUCCAAAGAUGGUCCAAGCACGUGGAUCCCUGCCAUCCACAUGCGAGACCCAGAUGGAGUUCCUGGCUCCUGAGUCUGGCCUGACCCUAGUCAUUGUGGCCAUUUGGGCAGUGAAUCAGCGGGUAGAAGGUCUCUCUCUCUCUGUUACCCUGCUUUUCAAACAAAUCUAUCAUUUUCUUCUAUUUUAUAACCCUUAACUAAAACAUAAUACAAAACCCAAAUCCAUAUUUAAAAGAAUAGUAUGACAUCACAAAGUAUAGCUUAAUUCCACAGAUCACACACAUAAGGAUAGUUCAAUCUAAGAACAUUUAUGGAUCCCUAACACUCAGAUGACGUAGAAGAAAAGCAUGCCAGCUAACAGGCGUUUCUCUCCUACACACAAUGCUCUUGUCAAACUGGGAAGAGAGAUGGAGAACAUGGAAAACAGUAUUUAUCUCAGAUCCAGAGCCCACAAAAUAUUGGUCAGAGGACGGAUGUAUUUUUACUAACCAGGAUAGGGCAAGAACGCCUGGUGUUACUACUUAACACAUUCUUAGAUUUUGAAAGUUCCAGCCAAAGUGAGGGCUACUGUCAGCCUGGGUGGAGUGUGACCAUCAGACCGUCUAUCUGACUUCACUGGUGCUGAAAAAGUUGAGUUCAUUUUCAACAUUUAAAAUACCCACAAACUUGACCUUUGGCACAUCUUAAAAAAAAAAAAAAAAAAAAAAAACAAAACCAAAAAACGAAAACAAAACAAAACAACAAAACUCUGACCCUCUGUUAGCCCCAGACCUGUUUCUCUAGUCGCAGAAAUGGGCUGGGGCUGGGAGAGGGCUCCCCCUUUGGACCUGGCCUGGGAUCUCCUGUUUGCCAAAGGCUGCACCUCGCUCAGUUCACUCUUCCAUGGUGACUUUCCUGGGCUGCCUGGGCACCUGAAUUCCUGAACCCAAUGAAUGAGACAAGAAAUUGAAUAUAUAUAAAUAUUAGAAAGGAAACAACAGUAUCAUGAGUUUUUAAAGAUCUUUAUUUAUGAAAGAGAUGGGGGAGGGGAGUAAGAAAUGGGGAGAAAGAGAGAAAGUAUCUCCCAUCUGCUAAUUCACUCCCCAAGUAUCCACAACAGCUGGGCCUGACACCAGGAGCAGGGAACCCAAACCAGAUCUCCCACAUGGGUCCCUGCCACCCAUGGCAGGGACCAUCACUGGCUGCCUCCCAGGGUAUGCACUAGUAGGAAACUGGAAUUGGGAGUACAGCUGGGACUGGCACUUGAAUACAGGAUGCCAAUGUCCUAAGUGUCAUCUGACCUCUGCACCAAAUGCCCACCCUUCAAUAUUUUUAAAUGAAGCAAUGGUCUACUUGUAAUAUUCAAGAGAAUCAGUUGUAAAACUAUUACAGUGAGAGUGGGUAGGAGGGUGGGUACGGUGAGAAGUAUUAUGUUCCUAAUGUUGCAUUUAUGAGAUAUAUGCAAAUAAAUAAAAAUAUUACAGUGACUACAAGUUCUGUAAGAUGGUCAGUUAUGAAAUCCAUAAAACUUCAUUUCCUCUUGGGGAUGGGGAAUCUUUUUUCUGCCAAAGGUGAUUUGGAUAUUUUUAACAUUAUUCAUGGGGCACACAAAAUUAUCAACUUAAAAAUUAGCCUGCUUUAGAUUUACUGAAUUCUGAUUCCAACCUGCAGUUGACUUGUCAAGACCAGACCAUAAGUUUCUGUGGGCCUUAUAUGGCCCAUGGGCUAUCUGUUGCCCACUGCUAUAUAACUGGCCAGGGCUGGGGUGGGAGUUCAGUCAUAAUUUGCAACAACAACAAAUACUUUGAAGUAGUUGGGCAAGAAAUGUGCAGUAGGUAUUUGAAUCAAGCUACAAAAUAAUGAAGAACAUGAAAUGAAGAAACACUGUAUUUUCUAAUACUGCAAGGAUGCCCAUCAUUACCAAAAUAUCACAAAUGUAAUAUAAUUCCAAUAAAAAUUUUAUACAUAUUUUUUCUUAAAACAACCAGAAUCUUUUUUUUUAAAAAAAAGAUUUAUUUAUUUGAAAGGUACAGUUAAGGGGGGAGGAGAGGAUGGGGGACCCAUCUUCCACUGUUUUCCCAGAUCUAUCAGCAGGGAGCUGCAUCUGAAAUGGAGCAACCGGGACUUGAACCGACGCCCAUAUGGGAUGCUGGCGUUGUAGGUGAGCUUCACCUGCUAUACCAAAUGCCAGUCCCAGCCACCAAAAUCUGAAAUGCUCAUCUGGAAUAAUAAAUACUUGAGGAUGUCUGCUUAGCCAAUAAAUACUUCAAAGAGCACAAUAUUAGAGAGGCAUCCUCUAACAAAUUAUUAAAAUUUAUUCUAAAAUGCUAAUUAAACAUAUGAUUACAGAGCAAUCAACAUAACAUAGGAAAAGAAUUAGAAGCACUGAAACAUACCCAAGUACAAACAUCAAUGCAAAGGUACUGCAAACAGUUCACACAGGGCUGGUGUUGUAGUUCAGCCCGUUAAGCUAUGGCUUGCGACGCCAGCUUCAAAUACUGAAGUGCUGGUUCAAAUCUUGGCUGCUCUGCUUCCAGUCCAGCUCUCUGCUACUGUGCUUGGGAAGGCAGCAGAAAAUGGUACAAGGAGAUGGCCAUCUGCCACACAUGUGGGAGACCAGUAUGCUUGUACAUACCAAAAAGCUAAAUAUGUCAUUAUUUUAUGUUUAGGGAUUCUCACUUAUUAAAAUUGAUCUUGAAAAAAUCAUGGAUGUGUAUAAAGGUUUGAUGUAAAAGAUACUCAUUUCAUCACUGCCUCUAAUAGGGAACAAUCAGCAACAAUGUAAGGGUCAAUAAUGAAGUCCAAGGUUGAUCUGCGUGUAUGGAUGCACCAGCCAGCAUCCAUUCUGAUUGGCUGGUGGCUGUGAGGCACAUUUGAUACAUAUUUUAGAUACCACUCACUCAGGGAAUACUUUGUACCAACCAGAUAACCAUGGAGAAGACCAUUUAUGAAGUUGACAAGCUGCAUACAAAACCAGAUGAGAAAACAGAGGUUCUAGCCAGAUGGGUCAUCUGAGAUAUGAACGCAGGCUGCGUGAGCCCAGAGCUUCCCUGGACUCUUCACUUCCGUGCCCCCAGUCUCGGCCAGCUCUCUGCUACUGAUGGCAACACAAACUAUUACAUCAGGUAUCACUUCUUCCAGGAAGCCUACCCUGACUUCUACCAUGAGGUCGGGGGUGCUCCUGUUUCCAGUGAAUGCUGCUCCUGUCUCAAUCAUAAAGCGCAUCGUGCUCUGAGAGUGUCCGAAGGCGCCGUGAACUGCAUGGGAGUCCCAGUCCCUCGGGCACGCCCCGGCCCACACGGCUGCUCAGCUCCGCGGAUGCAGGGUGCGUCCAGCCUCCUGUGCUCGGAGCGCUCAUCUUCUGGAGCAUUCUCUCAGCUGCGCUGCAGGAGCUGGACCUCUGGCUUGGGCAGCCAGCCAGAGGCAACCCCGUCAGCCCUGCAAGGCGUUCCCUCCACGUGGUUUCUCUACAUGGAGGAUGGGGCCGGUGCAGGCUGAGUAGGAGUCAGUGCCACUCCCAGGGAGCUAAGAAGAGAGGCCUGAGGCCAGUGGCUUUCUUCUAUUUUGUCUCUUUCUCCUUCUCAUCACCCUAUUUUCUUCAUCACGAACACGCUCUCUCCCCAGGGCAGAAGGUAGCUCCAGGAAAGUGUGGGACUCGGGCUUACUCUAGUAACUUGGCCCAAAGCGUCUCAAUAAUCCACUAGCAUAUUAGGGAAAAAAUGAGGAGUACCAAAGAAAGUUGGUUUUAUGUAAUUUAUUUAACAUCAUGACCACUCCUCUAACAGCCUUUUUUUUUUUUUGCUAAAUUUUAUUUAUUUUACUAGAAAGGAGACAGACAUCUGCUGGCUGACUCUCCAAGUGCCUGCAAAAGUCAGGGUGGGGCCAGGCGGAAGCCAGGCACUGGGAGCUCAAUCCGGUCUCCCUUGUGGGUGGCAGGCCUCCCGCCCCCCCCCCCCCCCCCGGUGGAGCCAUCAUCUGCUGCCUCCCAAGGAGGUGCAUUAGCAGGAAGCUGGAACUGGGAGUAGAGCCAGGACUCGAACCCAGGCACUCUGACAUGUGACACGGGUAUACCAAGUAGUAUCUUAAAUACUAGCCCAAACAUCCACCCCGGCUUUUAUAAAUAUCUCUAGAAUAUUAUCUAAUGUAGUCAGAUUAAAACAAAUCAUCACCAAUUUAAAAUGACCUUAAAGCAAUCAAGAUAUAAAGAGAAGUAAGAAAAAUCAUGAGGUUAUAAGUUAUAAAGAACACAGGAGGCUAGAAUUGGAGUAACAGGCCUGCAAAGAUUAGAAGCAUUCUCUCUCAGAAAACAAAGGUGCUCACCGUCACCCACCUAGCCAACUCCGUGUUGGAGAACCUACAGUGUAGUAAGAAAAACCAUCUGGAGGCAUAGAGAUUGGAAAGGAGAAAAUAAAACUGUUCUAACUUUCAGGUAACAUGAUUAUAAGAGGAUAUUUCAAAAAGUUUGUGGAAAGUGGAAUUAAAAGAAAUGCUUAUGUUGGUGAAAGCAAUUUUGAAGUCCAUACAUAGAUGGUUCUUUAAAAAGUUCCUGGAAAAUGCAUAUUAUAAAAAACGAUGCAAGAAUUUCAAAAACUUUUGCAUCCACAUAAAUGCAUCUCUUAAUUCCAUUUUUCCAUGAAGCUUUUGACAUGCGCACAUCACUCACCACUAGAGCAGAAGCAAGCCCAGGAACAGACUGUAUACAAAAUAGAAUUUCAGAAUAUGAUAGGCACCCAAAUAAAUAACAUUUUAGAUCCUUACUUGAUAUUAUAAAUAAAUGAAAUCAACUUUAAAAGCCAAUAAUAUAAAAUACAGAUGAAUAUAUUUUAGAUGCUAUGGUGGCAAAGACUUGAACGCUUUCUUAAAAGAUUUCUUAAAAAAAAGCAUUAGGUAUAAAAGUUUGAUACGUAUCACUAUCAGAACUUCUGUUCACCAAAAGAUACCUUAAAGAAAAUUUAAAAAAAUACAACAAAGGAGGCUGGCGCCGCGGCUCACUAGGCUAAUCCUCCACCUUGCGGCGCCGGCACACCGGGUUCUAGUCCCGGUCGGGGCGCCAGAUUCUGUCCCGGUUGCCCCUCUUCCAGGCCAGCUCUCUGCUGCGGCCCAGGAAGGCAGUGGAGGAUGGCCCAAGUGCUUGGGCCCUGCACCCCAUGGGAGACCAGGAGAAGUACCUGGAUCCUGCCAUCGGAUCAGCACGGUGCACCGGCCGUAGCGCAGCGGCCAUUGGAGGGUGAACCAAUGGCAAAAGGAAGACCUUUCUCUCUGUCUCUCUCUCUCUCACUGUCUAACUCUGCCUGUCAAAAAAAAAAAAAAAAUACAAAGGAUUAGUGUUGAUAAUAUACUAAGUAUGCCUUUAAUAAGAGACUAUAAACUAUAGAAAAUGGCAAAAACCAGAGACUUAGCAGAUUAAGAAAGGAGUCUUGUUGACCAAUCAGGUACAAGAUUGUAAAAGUGAGAAUCAAGACCAGAAUGAGGCACGGCAUAGCUUUUCCACCUUGAACCAGCAACACUUGAAAAGUCUGACUUUAACAAGUGCCGGAGAGGAUGCCGGUCCCCGACUGUCUUACAGCACUGACUCCGGUGUAAACCAACACAAUCUCUUCAGCAAACAGGGGGGCCCUGCACCGUCCACCCCCACAAUUCCCUCCCAGGUGUUUACCUAAGAGAACGCUGGUCAUGUGCAAGAGAUAGGUGCUAGCCUCUUCCCAGCAGUUCUGAUUACAAUACCUAGAACCUGUGAACAAGCCACGCAAUCAGCAGGGAGAGGGCCGUUAAGUAAACUGAGGUUGGUUCAUUUAAUGAAAUGUUAUGGGGAGGCCCGAACAAAUGAAUGACAAUGAGCAGCAACUGAGUGAAUCUCCAAGAUGACUAAGUACUAAAAAAAAUUACACUUUUUUACAGAGUUAAGGAUAUAUAUUUCUACACAAGCCCAGUUUUGGUAAUGCAUAUAACACACAUAAAAUUAAUACAACUGUAUAGAAAAAAGCAAGGGAAUAUUAAACACCUAAGUCAGGCCGAGGGUUCCCUUUGGCGUGGAAGAAGCAGGGGAGUAGGACGUAUGGUGGGUUUCCACGGUUAGGUAUGGGUGACGGUCUAGUUGUCAGGACCCUCGCUUUUCCUGGGGGAGGGGCUCACUUCGUGAGCACUCCCUGUAUCAUUUUUAAAAACUCAGUGGAAGUAGGUCAUGCACGCGUCAAUGACGUAUUCCACAAACCAGGCAUCAGAAGUACUCCAGUCCUGUGCACCCGUGGUCCGAUUAAAACACAAACACCAUCUAUGUUAAACACAAAGCACACUCCGCUCGGGCCAGCAGGACUGGGAACCGGAGCAAACACAGGCAAGCUCAGGCUUGGCGUUCCUGCUAAAAGCCACGUAACAAAAGCAUUUGCAGGUCACUCUGAGGACUACAUGAAGCAGACCUACCUGGAGAGCGUCUUCCCUUUGAGAAACCGUCUCUCCCAUCUCUAAACCGUCCUCGACACUGCCCGGCGAAACCGCCAACAGCCAGCAGAGUCCGAGCCGCGGAGCGCUGGCUUCCUGCUUCUCAAGCCCGCUAAACGCCCUCACCUGCUCCGGGACUCGGGAGCGCGUGCUAUCUUAUUCCUCUAAGCAUUCAACGUGAAACAAGGCCUUCCUUGGCAGGUGGCCACGGAGAAGUAUAUUUUUACAGCUUCUGUAACCGAGGCUCACGGCACCCAGAAUUCUGCAGCGCACGCCAGGCCGAGAAGGUCUGGCCAUUUCCAGGCAAUGACUGUUGGCUAUUUGUUUUUCAAAGAUAAAUACUACGUUCCAGUAACUCCGUGAUCACAAAUACAAAAGCUGGCGCGGUGUUUCGGAUCCCCUAAGACCAGGAAAAAACAUCUUAAAUCCCAUCUGGGGGCCAGGCUCUGUGUUUUGGCCCGCGGUAGGUACAUUGUGAAUGUUAGCUGAAUAAACUGGCAUUGUUUUCCAAGUAAUAA